AUACGUAGGGGGCGAGCGUUGUCCGGAAUGAUUGGGCGUAAAGGGCGCGUAGGCGGCCCGGUAAGUCUGGAGUGAAAGUCCUGCUUUUAAGGUGGGAAUUGCUUUGGAUACUGUCGGGCUUGAGUGCAGGAGAGGUAAGUGGAAUUCCCAGUGUAGCGGUGAAAUGCGUAGAGAUUGGGAGGAACACCAGUGGCGAAGGCGACUUACUGGACUGUAACUGACGCUGAGGCGCGAAAGUGUGGGGAGCAAACAGGAUUAGAUACCCUGGUAGUCCACACUGUAAACGAUGAAUGCUAGGUGUAGGGGAGUCAUCUUCUGUGCCGCAGCUAACGCAAUAAGCAUUCCACCUGGGGAGUACGGCCGCAAGGUUGAAACUCAAAGGAAUUGGCGGGG
rnacentral:rRNA from 1 species